AACGGCCAUACCAUGCUGAAUAUACCGGUUCUCGUUAGAUCACCGAAGUCAAGAAUCAUUCGGCGCGGUCAGUACUUGGGUGGGUGACCACCUGGGAACACCGCGUGCCGUU
rnacentral:rRNA from 1 species